UGGGGUGUCGCCAAGUGGUAAGGCACCGGCUUUUGAUGCCGGCAUUCGCAGGUUCGAUCCCUGCCACCCCAACCA
rnacentral:tRNA from 1 species